AGGUAAGCUACUAAGAGCGAAUGGUGGAUGCCUUGACUGGUAAAGGCGAUGAAGGACGUACUAGACUGCGAUAAGCUACGGGGAGCUGUCAAGAAGCUUUGAUCCGUAGAUUUCCGAAUGGGUCAACCCAAUGUAUAGAGAUAUACAUUACCUAUAUAGGAGCGAACGAGGGGAAUUGAAACAUCUUAGUACCCUCAGGAAAAGAAAUCAAUAGAGAUUGCGUCAGUAGCGGCGAGCGAAAGCGCAAGAGGGCAAACCCAGUGCUUGCACUGGGGGUUGUAGGACUGCAAUGUGCAAGAGGUAAGUUUAGCAGAACAUUCUGGAAAGUAUAACCAUAGAGGGUGAUAGUCCCGUAUGCGAAAAACAAACCUUAGCUAGCAGUAUCCUGAGUAGGGCGGGACACGAGGAAUCCUGUCUGAAUCCGGGUCGACCACGAUCCAACCCUAAAUACUAAUACCAGAUCGAUAGUGCACAAGUACCGUGAGGGAAAGGUGAAAAGAACUGAGGUGAUCAGAGUGAAAUAGAACCUGAAACCAUUUGCUUACAAUCAUUCAGAGCCCUAUGUAGCAAUACAGGGUGAUGGACUGCCUUUUGCAUAAUGAGCCUGCGAGUUGUGGUGUCUGGCAAGGUUAAGCAAACGCGAAGCCGUAGCGAAAGCGAGUCUGAAUAGGGCGCUUAGUCAGAUGCUGCAGACCCGAAACGAAGUGAUCUAUCCAUGAGCAAGUUGAAGCUAGUGUAAGAACUAGUGGAGGACUGAACCCAUAGGCGUUGAAAAGCCCCGGGAUGACUUGUGGAUAGGGGUGAAAGGCCAAUCAAACUUCGUGAUAGCUGGUUCUCUCCGAAAUAUAUUUAGGUAUAGCGUUGUGUCGUAAUAUAAGGGGGUAGAGCACUGAAUGGGCUAGGGCAUACACCAAUGUACCAAACCCUAUCAAACUCCGAAUACCUUAUAUGUAAUCACAGCAGUCAGGCGGCGAGUGAUAAAAUCCGUCGUCAAGAGGGAAACAACCCAGACUACCAGCUAAGGUCCCUAAAUCUUACUUAAGUGGAAAACGAUGUGAAGUUACUUAAACAACCAGGAGGUUGGCUUAGAAGCAGCCAUCCUUUAAAGAAAGCGUAAUAGCUCACUGGUCUAGUGAUUUUGCGCGGAAAAUAUAACGGGGCUAAAGUAAGUACCGAAGCUGUAGACUUAGUUUACUAAGUGGUAGGAGAGCGUUCUAUUUGCGUCGAAGGUAUACCGGUAAGGAGUGCUGGAGCGAAUAGAAGUGAGCAUGCAGGCAUGAGUAGCGAUAAUUAAUGUGAGAAUCAUUAACGCCGUAAACCCAAGGUUUCCUACGCGAUGCUCGUCAUCGUAGGGUUAGUCGGGUCCUAAGUCGAGUCCGAAAGGGGUAGACGAUGGCAAAU
rnacentral:rRNA from 1 species